rnacentral:rRNA from 1 species
CAGUAGCCGCGGGAAUACGAGGGGGGCAAGCGUUGUUCGGAAUUAUUGGGCGUAAAGGGUGCGUAGGCGGUUUGGCAAGUUUGGUGUGAAAUCUUCGGGCUCAACUCGAAGUCUGCAUCGAAAACUGCCGGGCUUGAGUAUGGGAGAGGUGAGUGGAAUUUCCGGUGUAGCGGUGAAAUGCGUAGAUAUCGGAAGGAACACCUGUGGCGAAAGCGGCUCACUGGACCAUAACUGACGCUGAUGCACGAAAGCUAGGGGAGCAAACAGGAUUAGAUACCCGAGUAGUCCCUGUCUCUUAUAA